GAAAAUUGGUGGAUUUCAAGGAAUUAAGCAAGUAAAGGUGGUGAGUCCUCUAACAAGGGUAAAGACAUUGUGCCAGAAGACCAAGAAUAAGAGUAUUUUGAACUCUCGAUACAGCUCAAGAUAGUCAGUAGAUAGUUGAUUUCAUCGAGAGCUACAGUUGGAUUUGCAUCCUCAAAAAUCGUAGGUUUACAGCCUUCGUUACUUUCGGUCAUUCGGGGGUCCACACGUCAUUGUAAAUUAAACUACAUACUCUGGUUAUCUGUGUU